UAAUUGAAGAGUUUGAUCAUGGCUCAGAUUGAACGCUGGCGGCAGGCCUAACACAUGCAAGUCGAGCGGUAACAGGGGAAGCUUGCUUCUCGCUGACGAGCGGCGGACGGGUGAGUAAUGUAUGGGGAUCUGCCCGAUAGAGGGGGAUAACCACUGGAAACGGUGGCUAAUACCGCAUAAUCUCUUAGGAGCAAAGCAGGGGAACUUCGGUCCUUGC
rnacentral:rRNA from 1 species